UUGUGUUGUGCUUUGCACUUCAUAAGUUGUAAGAGGUUUACUAUCAUCACAGAAUAUACAUACUAUUCCGAAUUAAAUUGAAGCAGAAUAUAUUUUGAAUUGUAAAGUUAUGUGUUGCGCCGCAUAAAAUGUAAUGUAUACAAAAGUUGAAAGGACAAUCUGAUGUUAUAUCUAUUCUAGCGAUAUGAAUAUAGCCCAUGAAAUGCUGCUUCUCCAUUACCCCUGGCAUUAAAGUAACUUUGAGUAAGAUGCAUUAAUAGAUUUUUGUAUUUUACAGCCUCCACCGGAAAGGUUCUCCUGCUACAGUAUUUGAUUUGAAUGGAUAAUGUAAGGAUAUCAGCAGAGAGGAAGCUCAAGAGAACCAGGCUGAGCAAGUCCUAAGGAUCUGUCUUCCACACAAGUGAAGAAGAUGAAGGUGCAUCCGAAACUGAUGUCUCGAUUGUUAUUGAAGGGACUGAGGUACUUGACAACUGUGGAAGUGUUGCAAAGGCCUGUCUCCUGCUCAUGGGCAUCAUUUAUGCCAUGAACUUGA